UACGUAGGGUCCAAGCGUUAUCCGGAAUCACUGGGCGUAAAGCGUGCGUAGGUGGCGUGUUAAGUGUGAUGUUAAAUCGUGGGGCUCAACCCUGUCGGUGCAUCACAUACUGGCAUGCUAGAGGACAGCAGAGGCAAGUGGAAUUUGUAGUGUAGCAGUGAAAUGCGUAGAUAUUACAAGGAACACCAAUGGCGAAGGCAGCUUGCUGGGCUACUCCUGACACUGAGGUACGAAAGCGUGGGGAGCGAACAGG
rnacentral:rRNA from 2 species